rnacentral:rRNA from 1 species
CAGUCGCCACGGGAAUACGAAGGGUGCAAGCGUUAAUCGGAAUUACUGGGCAUAAAGCGUGCGUAGGCGGUGAGUUAAGUCUGCUGUGAAAUCCCCGGGCUCAACCUGGGAAUGGCAAUGGAUACUGGCAAGCUAGAGUGUGUCAGAGGAUGGUGGAAUUCCCGGUGUAGCGGUGAAAUGCGUAGAGAUCGGGAGGAACAUCAGUGGCGAAGGCGGCCAUCUGGGACAACACUGACGCUGAGGCACGAAAGCGUGGGGAGCAAACAGGAUUAGAUACCCCUGUAGUCCCUGUCUCUUAUAA